AAAACGACUCUCGGCAACGGAUAUCUCGGCUCUCGCAUCGAUGAAGAACGUAGCGAAAUGCGAUACUUGGUGUGAAUUGCAGAAUCCCGUGAACCAUCGAGUCUUUGAACGCAAGUUGCGCCCCAAGCCUUCUGGCCGAGGGCACGUCUGCCCGGGUGUCACAA
rnacentral:rRNA from 1 species